rnacentral:rRNA from 1 species
CAUUGUCGAUGCCUCAAUCAAUUCGACCUGUGAAUUUGUAUAAACACGCGGCGUCGGCUUGAGGUCGAGAGCCUCAGCCUCGUCUGGGCAAGGGGGGCCGUGCCUCGCGCGGCUUCCUUCUGCCAAAACACAAACCCCGGCGCAUUGUGCGCCAAGGAACAUGAAACUGUUGAUGAUGCGCUCCCAGACCCGGACACGGUGUUCCUGCGGGCGUCUUCGUGACACAUUACACAAAAUGACUCUCGGCAACGGAUAUCUCGGCUCUUGCAUCGAUGAAGAACGUAGCGAAAUGCGAUACUUGGUGUGAAUUGCAGAAUCCCGUGAACCAUCGAGUCUUUGAACGCAAGUUGCGCCCGAAGCCAUUAGGCUGAGGGCACGCCUGCCUGGGUGUCACAAAUCGUUGCCCCAACGCCAAUGCCCGACCAAAAAGGGUGUUGACGGGGCGAAUGUUGACCUCCCGCGAGCAAUGUCUUGCGGUUGGUUGAAAAGCGAGUCCUUCGUGGAGAGCCCCAUGAUAAAUGGUGGAUGAGUAACACUCGAGACCAAUCACGGGCGGCCUUUCCUCGUGCACGACUCACGUGACCCGUGCGUUCUUUCGAACGCUCAUAACGAGACCUCAGGU